rnacentral:rRNA from 1 species
UGGGGAAUAUUGCACAAUGGAAGGAACUCUGAUGCAGCGACGCCGCGUGAACGAAGAAGGCUUUCGAGUCGUAAAGUUCUUUUAUAUGGGAAGAUAAUGACGGUACCAUAAGAAAAAGCCCCGGCUAACUACGUGCCAGCAGCCGCGGUAAUACGUAGGGGGCUAGCGUUGUCCGGAAUCACUGGGCGUAAAGGGUUCGCAGGCGGAAAUGCAAGUCAGGUGUAAAAGGCAGUAGCUUAACUACUGUAAGCAUUUGAAACUGCAUAUCUUGAGAAGAGUAGAGGUAAGUGGAAUUUUUAGUGUAGCGGUGAAAUGCGUAGAUAUUAAAAAGAAUACCGGUGGCGAAGGCGGCUUACUGGGCUCAUUCUGACGCUGAGGAACGAAAGCGUGGGUAGCAAACAGG